rnacentral:lncRNA from 1 species
CGGGGAGGGGAGCGGGCAGAGGGAGAGAGUCAUGCUUUUUAAUUUAAGAUUUUUAUUUGUCAAAAGAAUUCUAUGGAUAUUGGGUUAUUUUGUAAAUUAAUAUUGCUCUGGGGAACGUGCUGCGAGCAGCAUGGUGAGAAUUAUUUAAAGUCCUUCGAAGGGAGGGACCGCCGUCUUCAGCAGGGGAAGAGGGUGGAUUGUCCUUGUUUUCAGAAGUGAAUACUGCAACACUGUCUCAGAGGUUUCCUUGUGUCCUGGUGAAUUCCAUGGUGACUUGUGCAUUCCACGAGUUCUGACUAAUGUUAUUUAUAGUUAUUUAAACACGGUCUCCGUAUAGAUUUCUUUUUGGCAGCAGAACGCCGAGGUCCCCUGAAGAAAUCUAUGGUUCCAGCUUUGCUCGCUACAGCUCAUUGGGGGGCACGAUGUUCUCCCUACUAACCUCUCAUGGGGUCGUCUGGUGACAAUCCUUGUGAUGCGUGUGGAUGCCACUGUUCUUGAAGUUCUGCUGGAGACAAAUAGGUCACUAUUGCACUCAGAGGCAUCUUCCCAAGGGGCUAAUCCCAAACCCAAUGCAAUUGACCCCAAAGUCCCUUGCCAUAAAGAAAUGUGACUUUUUUUUUUUAAACCCAAGGAGAGAGCUGAUUGUAGCAAUUUUUUUUUCACCAAAAUUAGCAGCCUGAUAGAAUAGGCUUUUUUUAAACAGAAAAUUUUAACUGGCAGUGCCGGUUGUGGUGAAGGUGAAACAGCUGUUGCUUUAUGGCCAACAAGUAUUUAUUGAGCAUCUACUAUAUUCUAGGUUCAGGUGUAGGCCCUGCAGACAGAGCAUUGAACAAACCCAGUAGACUUAGCCCUCAAGAAGCUUUACAUGGACACAGAGCAUCCAGCUCGACAUUAACCAGGCCCCUGAUCUUCACGGACUUCAAGUGGGGUUUGGACUCUGUAACUCUAGAAGGCCCGUGAGCCCUACAUAUUUGCAUUUUUCUCUGGCCCAAAUUUGAAAACCACACACUUGGAUCAGGCUACUCAGUGAGUAAUCUAAGGUCAUUACCCAAGAAAUAGCAAAAAUAUUUCCUAUUUUGUGCCCUGAAGCCCCGGAAGGGACUCUCCAGGCACAGCGUGGAAGAGUGCUGUGACCGAGGUCUGGUUGGGUAAGGAGAGGAGAAGGUCCUCAAGUGCCUCCUCCCGCCAUGUCCAGUCAACAUCCGCAUCCCCGGGUGGAGGUGUCUUCUACGCUUCCCAGGUACACACUUGGGGAGUUGCAACAGGCUGCAUUUAUGCCCCUUGUAAAGAUCAGAGGUGGGCUGUGUGGGCACGUGCUUACCCGCCCACCUUCCCCAUCCUGCAGAGGCUAAGAGACCCUCCGAACCUUCGUGACUGCCAAGCAUGGGCGGCAAGGACAGCCUCCUGCCCUCUUCUUCCACACUCCUUUCCUCUGGAAGGCUGCCACUGGCCACUCCUGUUCCUUGCUGAUUAACAUCCAAACCUGCUUCUCAAUUCCAGCCAUUUCCAGCGCUUUCUCGGUUGAAGUUUGAGCCACAUCCCUCUUACAGCUAGUGAAUGAGUCGGUAGCAGAUACUGUAUAUAAUAAUAAUAAUAAUAAAAAUAAUAAUAAUAGUUCUAAUAAUAGGGGAG